rnacentral:rRNA from 2 species
UACAGAGGUCCCAAGCGUUGUUCGGAUUCACUGGGCGUAAAGGGUGCGCAGGUGGGCUGGCAAGUUCGAUGUGAAAGCCCCGGGCUUAACCCGGGAAUGGCAUUGGAAACUGCCGGUCUGGAGGGUUGGAGGGGGGACUGGAAUUCUUGGUGUAGCAGUGAAAUGCGUAGAUAUCAAGAGGAACACCAGUGGCGAAGGCGAGUCCCUGGACAAACCCUGACACUGAGGCACGAAAGCCAAGGGAGCAAACAGG